GCAGCCGCCGCCACCUCCUCCCCAUCCCCGCUCCAGUCCUCUCCCCGCUCCAGUCCUCCCCCCGCCUCUCCCGCCCACCGCCGACCUCGCAGUCGUCCUCACCCACCGCCGCCGACCUCGUCCCUCCCUCCCCUCACCAUCUCUCCCUACCCUAUGCCCCAGAUCGAGUCGAGCAGGUCGGCCGACGGUCUAGGGUUCCGUCCCUCCACCCCUGCCGUCGCUGCGAUCGCCCCGGCACUCCCCGCUCCGCCCCCACCCGACCCCUAACACACUGGUGCUCUCCCCCCGCUCGUGGCCAUGGCGGAGAAGCCGAGGGUUUAGGGUUCCGGCGAGAUGUCGACGGCGAAUCCCCGCCCCGCGGCCAAUCGCGGCGCUCCCGCCCCCUCCCCCGCGCAGCCCGCGGCCGCCUCUGACGCCCCGGCCGCCGCGGCCGCGAAGACCGCCAUGCAGCUGCGCAAGCCCGUCUUCACCACCAUCGAGGCGGCUCCCGCUUCCGCUUCGGGCCAGCAGCCCCCUCGAGGCGGCUCCUCUCCUCUCCUCCCCACGCCCGCCUCGCCCUAAGGUCGCCGCUGGAGAUGAGCAGCACCUGCUUGGAGUCGCUGAUGCCCAUGCACAGCGUGAUGGCUUCAGGGCUCAUGACGUUGCUCCUCGCCGCCCUGGCUCGCGUUGGUUCCUGCUGGAUCUCCGAAGAGGAGUGCCACUGAUCUGAUACUGCGGGAUCUGCAAAAUAACCCUGACAUGUGGCUGCAAGUGGUGCACAUCCUGCAGAACUCCCAGAACCUCAACACCUAGUUCUUUGCCCUUCAAGAUCAGGAAACAACAAAGCUGCUGAAGCUUCAGCUGAUGCGGAUGAAGGUGAAGUACGAAGACAAGUGUGAAGCCGUGAAGCCUAUCAGCAAGAGUAGGAUAUUAUGUAUUGUAAUAUUAGGCAGAGUGUAAAGAUUGUAAUAGACUAAUUUAGUGUUGUUUUGAAUGAAUUUCAUUUGCUCUCUACUUUGUUUGAAAUAUUGAUUGUGUAUAUAAUUCCAAUACCUGUGAAAUGGAAACGUGACCAAGGGGACCCACAUAUGAAAA